AUUGAACGCUGGCGGCAGGCCUAACACAUGCAAGUCGAGCGGAUGAAGAGAGCUUGCUCUCUGAUUCAGCGGCGGACGGGUGAGUAAUGCCUAGGAAUCUGCCUGGUAGUGGGGGACAACGUUUCGAAAGGAACGCUAAUACCGCAUACGUCCUACGGGAGAAAGCAGGGGACCUUCGGGCCUUGCGCUAUCAGAUGAGCCUAGGUCGGAUUAGCUAGUUGGUGAGGUAAUGGCUCACCAAGGCGACGAUCCGUAACUGGUCUGAGAGGAUGAUCAGUCACACUGGAACGGAGACCCGGUCCAGAAUCCUACGGGAGGCAGCAGUGGGGAAUAUUGGAAAAUGGGCGAAAGCCUGAUCCAGCCAUGCCGCGUGUGUGAAGAAGGUCUUCGGAUUGUAAAGCACUUUAAGUUGGGAGGAAGGGCAGUAAGUUAAUACCUUGCUGUUUUGACGUUACCGACAGAAUAAGCACCGGCUAACUCUGUGCCAGCCGCCGCCGUAAAAC
rnacentral:rRNA from 1 species